AUCACCAUAGCUUAAUGGAAAAGCGCCCGAAAGGGAAGAAGGAGGUUCGAUUCCUCCCGGUGGUU
rfam:Phytophthora infestans T30-4 supercont1.11 genomic scaffold, whole genome shotgun sequence.